CUAAAAAGGAAAAAGUUAUACCACCUGGAAAGCCAGCUGAAGAGAAAAAUAAAAAGGAUACUAAAUCGGUGAUUAAGUUACCCUACCCUCAGAGAGUGACAAAGAAGGAACCAAGCGAGUCCGACUUUGAGAAAUUCAGGACAAUGUUUAAAAAGGUAGAGGUUCAUAUGUCUUUAUUUGAAGCACUCGAGAGAAUGCCCACGUACAA
rnacentral:lncRNA from 1 species